UUCUAUGUUAGGUGUUUUGUGUAAGAUUUUAUUUUUAGGUUUAUUUGUUUUUGUUGAUGGAUAUUAAGCACACUAAAAAUAUUUUUAAGUCUCAAUUUAGUUCUAUAUCUUUUUAAUAGAUCCUCUAGAUCACUAUUUAGAUUAUUGAGUUGAUUGAUUUGAUUGCCACUUGAUUACUAUUUUAUCAUGUUUUGAUCUUUAACAGAGUUGUACCCUAGUGCCUCAUUAUGGCCUGGAGGUGACGGCAAUGGAACAUCAUUGGGUUUGGCAGUUACCAGUGAAGACACUGUCCACUUGCAGAAGACUAGCUUCACUAACAAUGGAGACUCCUCACCAAUAGGCAAUCACAUGACAAGAGCAGCAGCCUAUGGACUGGAAGAAAAGCUGGAUGUCAGCUGUAAGAGCAUCAUACUGAAAACCGUCUGUCUCCAUCAGUCUUCACUGCAUUAAAAAAAUGUAGAAAAUUUGUGAAAUACAACUUUGAAGUACACUAGUAUUUUGAGAUAUCUCAAUUCAAAUUGAUUUCAGAGAAUAAAAUAAGGUAGAUUUGUUUUUAAAAAGGCA
rnacentral:lncRNA from 1 species